GAGAUAUAUACUGUCUCAUAUAUAUUUGAUGAAUUUAAAUUUUUAGUAAAAAUGCUUAAAUAAUUUUAUGGGACGAUAAGACCCUAUAGAAUUUUAUAUUAAUAUUUUAUUAAUUAUUUAAUUAAAAUAUUAAUAUUUAAUUGGGAGGAUUAAUAAAUUUAAAAAACUUUAUUUUAAAAAUAAACUUUGAUUUUAGAAUUAAUUUUUGAUCUUUUAUUAUAAAUCAAAAGAAUAAAUUACCUUAGGGAUAACAGCGUAAUAUCUUUUUAAAGAUCAUAUUUAAAAAGAUGUUUGCGACCUCGAUGUUGAAUUAAGAUAAAUUUUAAACGGAGAAGUUUAAUAAUUAAGUCUGUUCGACUUUUAAAAUCUUACAUGA
rnacentral:rRNA from 2 species